ensembl:lncRNA novel transcript
AGCAGAGAGAGGCAGCGCAGAGGCUGGAGCCGACUUCCCCUCACCACAGAUCUGGGUCAACUCUAAGGAGCACUUUGUCCAGCAAAAGGGAAACCUGGCUUGUUCCCUCGAGCCUGGAAUGGACAUGGAAAGGGUGUCUUUUUGGCAGAAGCAAGGAUCUCCAGAUGGUUUCGAAACAGAAUUUACCCAGCACCAGACCCUCCUGGGCCAGUCACAUGGCCUUUGAGUGACCAGGAUCUUCAGGAGCCACUUUCAGGAAAUGCAGCAAAGGUGAUUUUCCUGUGAAACUUCAAUCCCAGGCAGGCCCUCCUCAGCCCACAGGGCCAUGGAUCUCUCAACUGAGCUGAGCUAAGCUUCCUCCACUGAUCCCCCCAGUCUGCUGUGUGCAGGGAGCAACAUAGAAACAUCCCCCAAGACAGCUCUUCAAACAACGCAUUACUGCUUAUGGAUUAUUAUUAUUAUUAUCAUUAUUAUUAAUUAUUUUUUGAUGGAGUUUCACUCUUGUUGCCCAGGCUAGAGUGCAAUGGUGCCAUCCUGGCUUACUGCAACCUCUG